rnacentral:rRNA from 1 species
AAACGACUCUCGGCAACGGAUAUCUCGGCUCUCGCAUCGAUGAAGAACGUAGCGAAAUGCGAUACUUGGUGUGAAUUGCAGAAUCCCGUGAACCAUCGAGUCUUUGAAUGCAAGUUGCGCCCCAAGCCUUCUGGCCGAGGGCACGUCUGCCUGGGUGUCACAA